ACUUAUCAGAUUCUACCACCUCUGUGAACCGUUGACCUCCGGGUUAAUAAUCAAACAUCAGUGUAACGAACGUAAGAGUAUCUUAAUUAAACAAAACUUUUAACAACGGAUCUCUUGGCUCUCGCAUCGAUGAAGAACGCAGCGAAAUGCGAUAAGUAAUGUGAAUUGCAGAAUUCAGUGAAUCAUCGAAUCUUUGAACGCACCUUGCGCCUUUUGGUAUUCCGAAAGGCAUGCCUGUUUCAGUGUCAUGAAAUCUCAAUCUAAUAUGUUUUCUGAACAUGUUAGGCUUGGACUUGGGUGUCUGCCAGCAAUGGCUCACCUCAAAUGACUUAGUGGAACAUCCCACAUCAGUGUUAGACGUAAUAAGUUUCGUCUCUCCUUGUGGUGAUGACUGCUCAAAACCUGCCAUCGCGCACCUUUUGACUUUGACCUGAAAUCAGGUAGGGCUACCCGCUGAACUUAAGCAUAUCAAUAAGCGGAGGA
rnacentral:rRNA from 1 species